rnacentral:misc_RNA from 1 species
GAACACUUCGCUUGUAACUCCACGUCUCUGUGUCUGUUAGGCUCUUGCUCGCUCUCCUUUCAUUUAACUCUUUCUGAUCAAACCAGGAAUUCAUGCCUAUUUAACGUUACAUGUCCUCCUUAGUUUACUCUGCCUUUCCAGUUCAGAAUUCAGAAGCAGAAAAAUCCAAUUCGCGUAACUUUUAGCUCCUGAUCAUCACUCUCUCUUUGUUGAUUUUCUUCUAAUCUGAAUUUUUUAUUCAUUAAACACUUGCCGAAUCUGUUUGGUCGCCAGGAAAACAUCGCCACAGAAAAGAUUUUAUAAUUUUCUGCUCUUUCUGAUUUGCUGUCUUUUUGUUAUUGUGGUGCUGUUUUUUUUUUCGUCUUUGAGUUGCUGGGGAAUGAAAAUGUAGAGGAUACUGUUGUUGAUUUUGGUCCUGUUUUAUUUUAUCUUACCUCUUUUUCUCUUGUGGCGUGUUUGAUUUAUGAGAAAAUCGUGGAAAAAGUUUUUUCUUUAGCUUAAAAUUUCUCUUUCAGAAUACUGAUUUUUGGCUUGUUUUUGGUUUCUGAAGAAGUGUGAAGAGUUUUGGAGUGAUAAUUGAAUUUCAGAUUUAAAAUUUGAUGUACCGUGCUUAAAUAUGUAAAUCUCUCUUUUUUUUUUUGGGUGAAUGAAUUAACAUUUUUAAUUCUUUUGUUUAUUUGUAUGUAGAGAUGGGUUUUGCAAGGAAAGAAUAUGAAUUUUUGACCGAGAUCGGAUUAAGUGAGCGCAACUUGGGUUGUUACGUGAAUGGCACCUGGAAAGCACGUGGCCCAGUGGUCAUCACUUUGAAUCCUGCAAAAAACCAGGUCGGUUUUCUGUUUUGGUAUAUGAUUAUUUUUUGUUUUUGUUAAUCCGGGUAUAAUUCCAUUCUGAAUUUCAUUUGAUAAUAAUUAUCCUUUUAUGAUGAUAUAUUUAUUUAUUUAUUCGCGUUUAUGUAUGUAUCAUUUCCAUGGUUAGAGGAUUAAAUAUGAGUAUUUUUUGUUUUUUUGGCUUGGUAUGAUUUGCAGGCUAGUAUUAAUUAGUUUAUUAUCUUCUUUCGAUGAUCAAUUAGAUUUAAUUAAAUGUGCUCCAAAUUACUUCGGCAGUCACUACUCUAUGAUUGAAUAGUCAGUUACGUAUUGCUAACAGAAAUACAUUUCGUGAACUUCAGCUGGCGUCUCUAAGCUUCAAGCACUAGUUGUCGUAUAGCUGACUACUGACUGCUUAUAGUCAAAGCGAAAUUUUCUUUCAGAUUGCACCAUUUUUUUUUUUCUUUUUCCUUUUCAAAAAUUUUGCUAGAGUUGCUUCUAUAUACAUCCAUCAGAACUGCACUCGUUUCCAAUCAUUAUACCUGUCUUAAGAAAUUUUUGUUUGGAAAUAGAACUUUCUUGCUUCUUUGCUUGUGUGUUUGACUGGAUGAUGAGGUCCCUUUUGAAUUACAAUGCAAAGUUAGUUUUUGUGCAUGUUGAGGUCAUGUGGUGGUUUGGUGUUUCUUGACAUGAUUGCAUUGUGGCAAUACAUUAUCAAGUUAAUGAUUUAUCCUCAACGUUGACUCAAGGCAAUAGCUGAGGUUGUGGAGGGUUCCAUUGAAGAUUAUGAAGAA